rnacentral:rRNA from 1 species
CCUACGGGAGGCAGCAGUGAGGAAUAUUGGUCAAUGGACGAGCGUCUGAACCAGCCAAGUAGCGUGAAGGAUGACUGCCCUAUGGGUUGUAAACUUCUUUUAUAUGGGAAUAAAAUGUUCCACGUGUGGGAUUUUGUAUGUACCAUAUGAAUAAGGAUCGGCUAAAUCCGUGCCAGCCGCCGCGGUAAUACGGAGGAUCCGGGCGUUAUCCGGAUUUAUUGGGUUUAAAGGGAGCGUAGGUGGAUUGUUAAGUCAGUUGUGAAAGUUUGCGGCUCAACCGUAAAAUUGCAGUUGAAACGGGCAGUCUUGAGUACAGUAGAGGUGGGCGGAAUUCGUGGUGUAGCGGUGAAAUGCUUAGAUAUCACGAAGAACUCCGAUUGCGAAGGCAGCUCACUGGACUGCAACUGACACUGAGGCUCGAAAGUGUGGGUAUCAAACAGGAUUAGAUACCCCAGUAGUC